AGGUAAGUAGUCAUCUUACGUUUAAAUGAAGAUGAAGAUAAGGCAAUUAAAAUAUGUAAAAGAUAGGCGUUAAAAGACGUUUCGAUUGAUGACAACCUAAUCAAAUCGGUAUAACAUGAUGAAAAAUGUAAACUUGGUUCAGUGGCCCAAACAUUUAAAACAAUAGGCAGCAGCCGUAAAAAAUAAAUGAGGUAGAUCAACAGGACGAAUUAGAUGGUGCUUGAUUGCUCGUUGCAAAUUGAUAAAAGGAUUCGCGAGAAACAUUGGAAAAUGGCCCCAAGAAAAAGCAAAGGCAU